rnacentral:rRNA from 1 species
UACAGAGGUCUCGAGCGUUGUUCGGAUUCAUUGGGCGUAAAGGGUGCGUAGGUGGCGUGGUAAGUCUGGUGUGAAAUCCCGGGGCUCAACCCGGAACUGCACUGGAUACUGCCAUGCUUGAGUACUGGAGAGGAGAUUGGAAUUUACGGUGUAGCAGUGAAAUGCGUAGAUAUCGUAAGGAAGACCAGUGGCGAAGGCGAAUCUCUGGACAGUUACUGACACUGAGGCAGCGAAGGCCAGGGAGCAAACGGG